GGUGGCGUCGGACGAGGCCACGUCCGGUUCGGUCAUGGCGAACGCCGAGCGGAUCUCGCCGCGCAACAGCGGUUCGAGCCAGCGUUGCUUCUGC
rnacentral:tRNA from 1 species